rnacentral:rRNA from 1 species
CCCUUAGAUGUUCUGGGCUGCACGCGCGCUACACUGAAGCGUUCAACGAGUAUUCACCUUGCCCGGGAGGGUUGGGUAAUCUUUUCAAAACGCUUCGUGAUGGGGAUAGAUUAUUGCAAUUAUUAAUCUUCAACGAGGAAUUCCUAGUAAGCGCGAGUCAUCAGCUCGUGCUGAUUACGUCCCUGCCCUUUGUACACACCGCCCGUCGCUACUACCGAUUGAAUGGUUUAGUGAGAUCUCGGGAUUGGAGACGUUGCGCCGCAAGGCACAUCGUCCUCGAGAACUUGAUCAAACUUGAUCAUUUAGAGGAAGUAAAAGUCGUAACA